GCCACUGCCAUGCUUUUUGUUUAUGUAUAGCACAUCAAAUUCAGCUUGAAACUGUCAAAUAUCAACUCGUUCAACGCUUUUACAGUGCCUACAAUCUCUAAAAAAUUGUACAUUUCUGAAACUCAAAUUGUAUAAAUCAAAACUAUGAUUGCAUUCAGAUUCGUUUUUCACAAACCAAAGCAGAAGGUAAUGCUGAAAUACCAAUAUCAAAUUAGCGUUUCCUAAGGAGAUUUACAGCCAAAAGCCUUUUCCGAAUACAAUCGCAAUAUCUUUCUA